rnacentral:rRNA from 1 species
GUUAUAGGGUCAAGCGAAUAAGUGCAUGUGGUGGAUGCCUUGGCGAUCACAGGCGAUGAAGGACGUAGUAGCUUGCGAAAAGCUGCGGGAGCUGGCAAACGAGCUUUGAUCCGCAGAUGUCCGAAUGGGGAAACCCGGCCCGUAUGGGUCAUCCCUUGCUGAAUACAUAGGCAAGGGAGGCGAACGCAGUGAACUGAAACAUCUAAGUAGCUGCAGGAAAAGAAAUCAACCGAGAUUCCCAAAGUAGUGGCGAGCGAAAUGGGAACAGCCUUGUACUCUUUAGCAGUAUUGUUAGCGGAACGGAAUGGAAAGUCCGGCCAUAGUGGGUGAUAGCCCCGUACGCGAAAACAGUAUUGUGGAACUAGGUGUACGACAAGUAGGGCGGGACACGUGAAAUCCUGUCUGAAGAUGGGGGGACCAUCCUCCAAGGCUAAAUACUCGUGAUCGACCGAUAGUGAACCAGUACCGUGAGGGAAAGGCGAAAAGAACCCCGGGAGGGGAGUGAAAUAGAUCCUGAAACCGCAUGCAUACAAACAGUCGGAGCCUGGAAACGGGUGACGGCGUACCUUUUGUAUAAUGGGUCAGCGACUUACAUUCAGUGGCAAGCUUAACCGAUUAGGGAAGGCGUAGCGAAAGCGAGUCCGAAUAGGGCGUUCAGUCGCUGGGUGUAGACCCGAAACCAAGUGAUCUAUCCAUGGCCAGGUUGAAGGUGCGGUAACACGUACUGGAGGACCGAACCCACUAACGUUGAAAAGUUAGGGGAUGAGCUGUGGAUAGGGGUGAAAGGCUAAACAAACUUGGAAAUAGCUGGUUCUCUCCGAAAACUAUUUAGGUAGUGCCUCGUGUCUCACCUUCGGGGGUAGAGCACUGUCAUGGUUGGGGGGUCUAUUGCUGAUUACCCCGCCAUAGCAAACUCCGAAUACCGAAGAGUGCAAUCACGGGAGACAGACAUCGGGUGCUAACGUCCGGUGUCAAGAGGGAAACAACCCAGACCGCCAGCUAAGGUCCCUAAGAUUGGCUAAGUGGGAAACGAAGUGGGAAGGCUAAAACAGUCAGGAGGUUGGCUUAGAAGCAGCCACCCUUUAAAGAAAGCGUAAUAGCUCACUGAUCGAGUCGUCCUGCGCGGAAGAUGUAACGGGGCUAAGCCAGUCACCGAAGCUGCGGAUGCACGUAAGUGCAUGGUAGGAGAGCGUUCUGUAAGCCUGUGAAGGUGUCUUGUAAAGGAUGCUGGAGGUAUCAGAAGUGCGAAUGCUGACAUGAGUAGCGAUAAAGGGGGUGAAAGGCCCCCUCGCCGUAAGCCCAAGGUUUCCUACGCAACGUUCAUCGGCGUAGGGUGAGUCGGCCCCUAAGGCGAGGCAGAGAUGCGUAGCUGAUGGGAAGCAGGUUAAUAUUCCUGCACCGUCGUAUGAUGCGAUGGGGGGACGGAUCGCGGAAGGUUGUCCGGGUGUUGGAAGUCCCGGUCCCUACAUUGGAGAUGGCACUUAGGCAAAUCCGGGUGCGUGAUUCAAGGGUGUGGGGCGAGCGACGUUAGGUCGCGAAGCAAUUGGAAGUGGUUCCAAGAAAAGCCUCUAAGCUUCAGUCAUACGAGACCGUACCGCAAACCGACACAGGUGGGCGAGAUGAGUAUUCUAAGGCGCUUGAGAGAACUCGGGAGAAGGAACUCGGCAAAUUGGUACCGUAACUUCGGGAUAAGGUACGCCCUUGUAGUUUGACUGGCUCGCGCCAGAAGGAUGAAGGGGUUGCAAUAAAAUGGUGGCUGCGACUGUUUAAUAAAAACACAGCACUCUGCAAACACGAAAGUGGACGUAUAGGGUGUGACGCCUGCCCGGUGCCGGAAGAUUAAAUGAUGGGGUGCAAGCUCUUGAUUGAAGUCCCGGUAAACGGCGGCCGUAACUAUAACGGUCCUAAGGUAGCGAAAUUCCUUGUCGGGUAAGUUCCGACCUGCACGAAUGGCGUAACGAUGGCCACACUGUCUCCUCCGAGACUCAGCGAAGUUGAAGUGUUUGUGAUGAUGCAAUCUCCCCGCGGCUAGACGGAAAGACCCCAUGAACCUUUACUGUAGCUUUGCAUUGGACUUUGAACCGAUCUGUGUAGGAUAGGUGGGAGGCUUUGAAACCGGGACGCUAGUUUCGGUGGAGCCGACCUUGAAAUACCACCCUGGUUUGUUUGAGGUUCUAACCUUGGCCCGUGAAUCCGGGUCGGGGACAGUGCAUGGUAGGCAGUUUGACUGGGGCGGUCUCCUCCCAAAGUGUAACGGAGGAGUUCGAAGGUACGCUUGGUACGGUCGGACAUCGUACCUAAAGUGCAAUGGCAAAAGCGUGCUUAACUGCGAGACCGACAAGUCGAGCAGGUGCGAAAGCAGGACAUAGUGAUCCGGUGGUUCUGUAUGGAAGGGCCAUCGCUCAACGGAUAAAAGGUACUCUGGGGAUAACAGGCUGAUACCGCCCAAGAGUUCAUAUCGACGGCGGUGUUUGGCACCUCGAUGUCGGCUCAUCUCAUCCUGGGGCUGUAGCCGGUCCCAAGGGUAUGGCUGUUCGCCAUUUAAAGAGGUACGUGAGCUGGGUUUAAAACGUCGUGAGACAGUUUGGUCCCUAUCUGCCGUGGGCGUUGGAAUCUUGACGGGGGCUGCUCCUAGUACGAGAGGACCGGAGUGGACGUACCGCUGGUGUACCUGUUGUCUCGCCAGAGGCAUCGCAGGGUAGCUAUGUACGGAAGAGAUAACCGCUGAAAGCAUCUAAGCGGGAAACUCGCCUGAAGAUGAGGAUUCCCUGGAGACUUGAUCUCCCUGAAGGGUCGUUCGAGACCAGGACGUUGAUAGGCUGGGUGUGGAAGCGCAGUAAUGCGUUCAGCUAACCAGUACUAAUUGCCCGUGCGGCUUGAUCCUAUAACC